rnacentral:lncRNA from 1 species
CAGGACACUGAUGCACCAGGCUGGGGUGGGGCCCUGGCUCUCAGGUCUGAGGGCACCGUGCCUAGGGCAGGGCCUGCAGUCUCUAGGGCGCCUUCUCAACAAGAAGAAAGCAGGGGCUGGGCAUGGUGGCUGACAGCUGUAAUCCCAGCACUUUGGGAGGCUGACACAGGCAGAUCGCUUGAGGUCAGGAGUUCGAGACCAGCCUGGCCAACAUGGCGAAACCCCAACUCUAAAAUCAGUGUACAUCUUACAUGUGUUAAUUGAUGUCUUAUGUCUCUGCGCUGAUUGUGAGAAGUGGCUCCGGCUCUGAUAACGGCGGUCCCAGAUGGUAAGAUGAGUUCCUUGCACGGGGGCGCAGACCGGGACUGGCUUGGGGAGCCCUCCGGAGUCCCAGUUGCUAUCACAGCAGAGGUGUCCCCAGGGGCUUUU